UAAAAACCACCACUGAACAAGAUAAGGAAAGUGUUAGUAUUAGUAACGGUCUCCCACUGAUAAUAUGUUUAGUAUUACCAAGGGUCCAUUUUUGUUAAUGGUUAGUAAUAGAAAAGCAGAUAAAUAUAAUAGGAAAUAAUAGGGAAGAUCAGGGAGCAGAGAUCUUAUCGCUAUUUAUUAUUCUUUCUUUCGGUGGGUCGGUGGGUUUUGCAGUGCUGAAGCAUCUUUUUAUUUUAUGUUAUUUUUCUUUUGCUUUCAUCAUUGCUGCGUGAUAUUCCUUUUGUUGAGCACUGAGUCACUGUAGUCACUGACACUGCCGAGUCUGGCCUUGGAGGUCGUUGUCUUGGGCCAGGGAAGCGAGCUCGUUCGCAGCCUCAACACGAUCCGGCAACUGACCCAUUUGAAUAGUGGCGAUGAAGGACCAAACCCAUGAGAGAAUCGGGUCGUUGCUGGCAAUCGGGGCGAGGGAGAGCACAAUUCCG
rnacentral:lncRNA from 1 species